AGCGCGCCCCGACUUGAGCGGAAAUCCUUUUUUUGUGGGUGGAAAAGCCAAGGCAAAAAGAUUGGGAGCGGAAGGCGGAUAAAGGC
rnacentral:sRNA from 1 species